rnacentral:rRNA from 1 species
AAGUCGAACGGUAACAUUUCUAGCUUGCUAGAAGAUGACGAGUGGCGGACGGGUGAGUAAUGCUUGGGAACUUGCCUUUGCGAGGGGGAUAACAGUUGGAAACGACUGCUAAUACCGCAUAAUGUCUUCGGACCAAACGGGGCUUCGGCUCCGGCGCAAAGAGAGGCCCAAGUGAGAUUAGCUAGUUGGUAAGGUAACGGCUUACCAAGGCGACGAUCUCUAGCUGUUCUGAGAGGAAGAUCAGCCACACUGGGACUGAGACACGGCCCAGACUCCUACGGGAGGCAGCAGUGGGGAAUAUUGCACAAUGGGGGAAACCCUGAUGCAGCCAUGCCGCGUGUGUGAAGAAGGCCUUCGGGUUGUAAAGCACUUUCAGUUGUGAGGAAAAGUUAGUAGUUAAUACCUGCUAGCCGUGACGUUAACAACAGAAGAAGCACCGGCUAACUCCGUGCCAGCAGCCGCGGUAAUACGGAGGGUGCGAGCGUUAAUCGGAAUUACUGGGCGUAAAGCGCACGCAGGCGGUUUGUUAAGCUAGAUGUGAAAGCCCCG